rnacentral:rRNA from 1 species
GAUUAACGCUGGCGGCGUGCAUAACACAUGCAAGUCGAACGAAGUGGCGGAGGGGUGAGUAACGCGUGAGUAACCUGCCUUACACAAGGGGAUAGCCGUUGGAAACGACGAAUAAUACCCUAUGGUGUAAGAUGGACUUGCGUCUGAUUAGCUAGUUGGUGAGAAAAAAGCCCACCAAGGCAACGAGCCGUAGCCGGGUUGAGGGAGUGUACCGCCACAUUGGGACUGAGACAAGUCGCAGACUCUACGGGAGGCAGCAGUGGGGAAUGUUGCACAAUGGGGGAAACCCUGAUGCAUCGAGGCCGCGUAAUUUAGAAGUCCUUCGAGUUGUAAAAAUCUUUUGUAUAGAAGUCGGUACUAUACGAAUAAGGUCCGGCUAAUUACGUGCCAGCCGCCGCGGUAAUAC